UGUUAGUUUUAAGUCAUUCACGACUCAAUUAUUAUAAUCAAUCUUUUUUGCAAUUAAAUAUUUUACUUUGUUAAAUCAAGAAGCUUAAUUAGUUAAUUGGGUAAUUAUUUUAUCUCGAUCUUAUUACAAUACGGUUGGAUGGUUAAGAGAUAGGCUUUGAUUUAAAAGAAUUGAUUUCAAUAUGUCCACAAAAAUGUGGUUACAAUUGAAGUGAAAAGGCUAUUCUUCAACUCCAAUUGUGGCCACAAUUUUAAGUCAUAAAUUAGCCCUUUUGUAUUGUCCAGCCCAAUUCAAUGAACCCGACCCACUUCAAUUAUAAUCCCCAACACCCCUUUUCUCUUUUCUUCAUUCUGAAAGAACAAAAAAAAAAAAAAAAAAAAAAAACGAGCCUUAAACCAAACGAAUCCAGCUGUCUCCAUGGCCAUUUUUGGCAACGAGUCUCGUUCCUUUUGCUUUACAGUCUUGCUCGCCCAUUUUGGGUAAUAGUAUCGAUGAUGCCUGUCGAUUUCUCCUUGUCCAGCUUGCAAACGGUAACUUUGAUAUUUUUUCGAUUUUUCAAUUAAUUUUUGCUUGACUUCUCUUGUAAGAUUCGGAUUUCAAGGGUUUCUAUACAAAUUUGAGUUAGGAUUUGGUUUCCAAGGCUAUUUUCUAAACGGAAAAGGGCCAAAUUUACCCUGAACUAUUGGAAAAAGGGCUAAAUAUAUCCCUCGUUAUAUUUUGGGUUCAAAUAUACCCAUGCUGUUAUACUUUAGGUCCAGAUAUACCCCUCCUCCAUUAAAAUUAUCCAAGAUCGACACUAGAUUUGACGUGGCAUGACAGCUCAAUGAGGUGGACGCCAACAUGGCAUGCCACCACACCACCCAACCCAUUUACCCCUCUCUUUCCCUUAUUCUCCCACCACUGUCAUCUCCCCUCCCUUAACAACCAGUGCCACCAUUAGCACCACCACACCACCAUCUCCAACCUCCACCUCCAUAUAGCAGAGUCUAAAAAGAGGAAAUUACUUUAUGCCAGAGCAAUGCGAUACCAAAUGUUCAGCAGAAGUAGAAGCAGUAAGAAUUAAUGACCUGAGGGAACUGAGUUGCAUAUGUAAUACUUCCAUUAAAAGUAACCUCUUCUCCUUCCGUUGAUAGUCCGUGUAACGCCUCCCGCCUCCGACCACCACUCAUAAGCAGGGAUAUUUAGUCGAGGUAUGGUCGGUGCUGUGUUACCCAAUAGUGAUAUUUUCUCAUCCAAAUUCAGGUCUAAAAUUAGAUCAUCUACUCUCUGGGUAAUGGAUAAUGAGAAAUUACAGAACUGAAAUUUUUGGGUGUCUGGGUUGGACGUGUCACAUAAGAAUGGAAAAGGAGUUGACUGAGUAGUGCUGAGAAAAAAGAAGAAGAUGAUAAUGGUUAUGACAACAAUUUUAUGGAAUUGUAACAGAAAGGGAGUGAAGGUGGAGAUAGUGGUGUGGUGGUGCUAAUGGUGGCAGUGAUUGUGAAGGGAGAUGAGAUGAUAUGGUGGGAGAAGAAGGGAAAGAGAUGGGGUGGUGAGGUGGCAUGCCAUGUUGGCAUUCACCUCAUUGAGCUAUCAUGCCACGUCAAAUUUAGUGUCCAUCUUGGACAAUUUUAACGGAAGAGGGGUAUAUCUGGACCUAAAGUAUAAUGACAAGGGUAUAUUUGAACCCAAAGUAUAACGAGGGGUAUAUUUAGCCCUUUUCCAAUAGUUCAGGGGUAAAUUUGGCCCUUUUCCGUUUUCUAAAAGUCCCACAUCGUUGGUUUUACAAAAAGUUUGCACAUUUUGGGUUCUAUAAAUAGAACCCAUUCCCUUCAUUUUAGACAAGGUUUUUCGGAGUCCAAAAAAAAUUGGUUUCUUAACCAUUAAGGUUUUUACACCCUCCAAGAGUGGGAAACACUCAAAAAAUUCGGCAACGCCUUGAGUUUUCGAGGAAGCUUCUCGCUCUAAGUUUAAUUUUUGGAAGUCGUUUUCGCGACUCGGGUGAAAGGUGGUUCAUCAACUCCCGUCGCCCCGUCGCUGCUCUCAAAAAGGUACGUUUAGCCAAUAUGGGUCCGUUAGAUGGGAUUCUACUAAAUACGGAAGUGAAGUGAAGUUGAAGGCCCGAAAGCUCGGAUGAAAGACUAGAAGAGCAUAGAAGAAUGAAAACAAGGCUGCUGAAUGGUUUGGGCCCAAGGCCGUAAAAAGCUAAACUUUUCUUCCCUUUCCUGUAGUAUAGUUUUUACAUUAUUUUCUGUGUGACCAGGCAAAUACAUUUGUAUAGUUAUUGAAACCCCUACAGGUUAGAACCUAGGAUUUGGAUAGAUGACGUUUCAACACUGUACCCAAAUGAUAAAAGAGUUGUAUUCCAUUUGAUUAAGAUAAAUAAAAGUGAAAGUAUAUUUUUCUUGCAAAAA